CUCCAGAGACGCUGAGCGUCCAUGGCGGGACAUCGCAGCAUUUAUCCAAUGAGCGUAUCGUUUUGAAACACUGAAAAAUCUCUUCAGAGAAGCCUCAUGAUGUCCAUUGAAGCUGGGCUUCAACAGGGAAAUGCACUGUGACGCUACGGGAAUGUAUGAGAAGGAAAUUAGUUAGUCGACCUGCUACUAUACGCUGCUGAUGCUGAACUAAUUCGUCUUCGAGAUGAACGUGUUCUAACACAUUUAAAAUGUUAACACUAUAGUAAAUAUUUUACCAUACAUUUUUUUAUAUUUUAGGGGAGGCUGAGCUUCCUUUUCAGUCUUAAAGAAAUCGCCACUGGUGGAAAGUUAACAUAGGAGUUCACCGUCAUGAAUCGGUCCAGAAUCAAGGAUCUGUUGCAGCCAGGCAUUUGGAAGAUCUGAUCGAUACUUCGAGUGGACUUCUUCUCAGAAAGGAUCAAUGUCUCUCCCACCUGACUGGAGGAGGGAAAUCCUGUCGUCAUGACAAAACUGCCAGGGGUAGAAUCACCAUGGAGACACUCGCUCUCAAAUGGAAGCCCAAACAGAGCCAAUGUAUUAUGUCCAUCAGACAACAGAAAUUAGUCCCAGAAACUCUCAUCAGGAAAAUCUCAUCCCUAAGGUCUGAUACAGCCAC